ensembl:snRNA U6 U6 spliceosomal RNA
GUGCUUGAUUCGGUAGCGCAUGUACUAAAAUUGGAACGAUACAGAGAUUAGCAUGGCCCCUGCAGAAGGACGACACACAAAUUCGUGAAGUGUUCCAUAUUUAA